UUUACUUAAAUUUCAGUUGUGUUCAAUAUCUUCUAUCAAAAUAAUUAAAAUCAGUAGCUUUUGAAAAUUAAAAACCGCCAUGGAACCAAUUAAUGGAGAGCUGGAACCGCAUCAACCAAUAGAACCACUGGAUAUUGAACAACCUCCACCGGAGCAAGAAACAUACAGCGGCUUAGUUAUUUUCAUGGGGAUCAUAGGCAUACUUCCAUUUUUCGUUGCGUUGGUAGGAAUAGUUCCUUUUCUUUGCUCUUUAUUUCUCAUAUUUAUUAUAUUUUUUCUUUGUUUAUCUUCUUGUAUAAAUAAAUAAAAAGAAUUGGGAGAUGUAAUAACGUUUAUCCUAAUAAAUAGGAUAGGCAAAAUGAAUUUAUAAAUAUGAUUUUAUUUUGUCUCGCUUUUUCAUAUAACAGAAUCUUGAUCUAUACAUGUAAAUAGUUACAAUGGUUUUAGAUGAUUUUAAAUUGCAUUUGCUGUUAAUCGCAAAACUUAUAUAUUUGAAAUUUUUUUGAGUAAACAUAGCUUAUAUUGACCAUACUAUGCCUGUUGAGACUUUAAAAUCGAUCUACAAUUUUAUAGUUGCAAUGUAACUGAGGACUACAAUUUAAAAUUUAUGUGUUAUUAACUUCUUGAAUUUUUUAUGGCAUUUAAUGUUUUUUUGUUGUUGUCGCAAGUAUUUAGUGUUUCUUAUAUUAUACAAUAUGAAAAAUGUGAUGAUUAAUUAUUGUUUCAGGUGUUUGGUAUUAUCUAUGGUAUACUGGAAUGUUUGCGACACCGUCGACACUGAAUUAACCAAGUUGUGGCAGCAAACCCAUUAUUACCAGAAAUUCAUUGAGGCCCUUAAUGUUGAUAGUAAUUUUUUUUUUUGGAGACAAGUUGUUACCGUUUCUAAACAAUUUUACCGUUUCUAGUUUGCACCAUAUGUAGCGUUAUUACUACGUGUGAGUCAUUGUUGGUAGCGUUAUUACUACCACUGUUUAGCGAUGUUAUAUACACAUAGUAUAAAGGUGGUUAGUUAGUUUGUUAAGAUAACGAUGUAAUUUUUUUCAUAAAUAAACUUGCUGAG
rnacentral:lncRNA from 1 species